UUGACCUCGGAUCAGGUAGGGAUACCCGCUGAACUUAAGCAUAUCAAAAGCCCG
rnacentral:rRNA from 1 species